rnacentral:lncRNA from 1 species
ACCACAUUACAUUAAGUCCCAAUCGUGUCCCCUUCGGUCUCCUCUGGCUGGGACAGCCUCUCAGACGCCCCUCCUUUGUUGAUGACCUUGAUGUUCGGAGGAGUCCUGCUCCGGGAUAUUGUAGAAUGUCUCUCAAUGUGAGUUGGUCGACGGGGCCAGAGGGUCUGGGGGAAGAGGACACGGAGAUGAAGGGACCAUCUCCCCACAUCAAGGGUGUUUACCUUCCCCUUUAGAAGGACCCAUACGCUCACCUGGCACCUGGCUAAGGUGUGUUCCCAGGUCUCUCCGUGUGAACUUUCAUUCUUACUUUCCACACUCCAGUCCUUAGAAGGAAGUCCCUAAGUGCAGCCCACACUUAAGGGCCGCUCUGCUCUCACCGUUUGUGCACAGGGUUCUGUGCAAAUAUGUCUUCAGAGGAGCUGGAGGAGGACCCGUGUGCUCACCAGGCUGGGUGCUGAGUCCCUGUGCAGCUUCCUGAGAACCUGCUGACCGUCACCCAGUGGCUCUGCUGCUUCGUAUUCCUGCCCCGGGGAUGAGGGUUCUGCUGCUCCACAUCCUGCUCAGCACCUGCUCAACUGUCCCCAGUUCUUGGACUCUAGCUCUUCUAACAGGGCCUGUCUCACAUCACCAGGGUCCUGACUGCUGUUCUUCAUUUCAUCACCAGUGUCUCCAGAUCUGGAGUCAAGGGGACCUUGAAAUAGCCACUCCUUAAACCCAGAGUCUCCCUUCCCUUGACUGCCCAAGGGAUCACAUGUUCCAUGCCUCAUGUCUUUGGGCUGAGGAAUAUAUUUGACCACGAUGUCAAUUACAUGGCGUGAUUGUCUGAGACGUAUUAUGUGUCCCUCUAGUCACAGUCAUCAUCACGAUGGUGACUAAAUCAUUUUGAUUAUUUCCAUUCUUUAUAAAGCCCCAUUAAAAAAACAUCCUUGAAUAUAUAUAUUUUUGUCUUUUUAGGGCUGCACCCAUGGCAUGUGGAGGUUCCCAGGCUAGGGGUCGAAUUGGAGCUGUAGCUGCCAGCCUACACCACAGUCACAGCAACUCAGGAUUCGAGCCACAUCUUUGACCUACACCACAGCUCAUGGCAAUGCUGGAUCCUUAACCCACGGAGCAAGCCCUGGGAUCAAACCUCCGUCUCAUGGAUCCUAGUCAGAUUCGUUUCCACUGAGCUAAGACGGGAACUCCUUGAAUAUAUAUUUCUGAGACCAGGUUUAACUGUCUUCUUGGCAUGAAUUUCUAAAAAAAUUUAUGUGUCAAUAUGUAAACAUAUUGAAAUAAUUGAUACAUGUUGCAAAAGUCCCCUUUAAACGUUUUGUACCAGUUUUCAAGCCCAUCACAGUUUAUGCCCGGAUAUUCUCCCUAAAUUCCUGUCAAUGCUCUCCUCU